GACGAACGCUGGCGGCGUGCCUAAUACAUGCAAGUCGAGCGGACAGAUAAGGAGCUUGCUCCUUUGAAGUCAGCGGCGGACGGGUGAGUAACACGUGGGCAACCUGCCUAUAAGACUGGGAUAACUCCGGGAAACCGGGGCUAAUACCGGAUAGAUUCCUUCCUCUCAUGAGGAAAGAAGGAAAGAUGGUUUCGGCUAUCACUUAUAGAUGGGCCCGCGGCGCAUUAGCUAGUUGGUAAGGUAACGGCUUACCAAGGCGACGAUGCGUAGCCGACCUGAGAGGGUGGUCGGCCACACUGGGACUGAGACCCGGCCCAGACUCCCACGGGGGGCAGCAGUAGGGAAUCUUCCGCAAUGGACGAAAGUCUGACGGAGCAACGCCGCGUGGACGAAGAAGGCCUUCGGGUCGUAAAGUUCUGUUGUUAGGGAAGAACAAGUACGAUAGUAACUGAUCGUACCUUGACGGUACCUAACCAGAAAGCCACGGCUAACUACGUGCCAGCCGCCGCCGUAAUAC
rnacentral:rRNA from 1 species